AUGAACGCUGGCGGCGUGCCUAAUACAUGCCAGUCGAGCGAACGGACGAGAAUCUUUCUUUUCUGAUGUUAGCGGCGGACGGGUUAUUAACACGUUGAUAACCUACCUAUAAGUCUGGGAUAACUUCGGGAAACCGGAGCUAAUUCCGGAUAAUAUUUUUAACCCCUUGGUUCAAAAGUUAAAUUCGGUCUUUCUUUCUCUUAUUGAUGGAUCCUCGCUGCAUUAGCUAGUUGGUAAGGUAACGGCUUACCAAGGCAACGAUGCAUAGCCGACCUGAGAGGGUGAUCGGCAACACUGGAACGGAGACACGGACCAGAAUACUACGGGAGGAAGCAGAAGGGAAUAUUACGCAAUGGGCGAAAGCAUGACGGAGAAAAGCCGCGUGAGUGAAGAAGGACUUAGGAUCGUAAAACACUGUUAUUAGGGAAGAAAAUAUGUGUAAGUAAAUGUGCACAUAAUGACGGUACCUAAUAAGAAAGCCACGGCUAACUACGUG
rnacentral:rRNA from 1 species